GGAUGAAGCAAUCUUACUCAUCGUAUUCAACAACUAACCCCGCCCCCUUUCCCCACCACAUCGCCACCAGCUCCACACACACCCCGUGGGGUGAGUAGCAAGUUUGCCGUCAACACCGUGUCUAAUUGCGUCGACGGAGCCGCGUGAGCACGCGUGCGUCUUUGACUGCUUGCCAAUCCCAAUCGUUAGCAGCUGAUUUGACGAAAGCCAUUGAAACCAUCUCGUGAAGAAAAAAAACAGAAAACACCUUUCACACGAGACGCUGUCCGAGACGCCAAGCCGAUCCGGCACUUCAUCAACGGCGCUAAUAACACAAAUCUGCUUCUACGGAUAAUCGAUCGAGCGGCUCGUCAGUUCUCAUCGAGGAAAUAGCGCGUGUCAUCGCCAUGCCAACGCUCAAUGUGUGUCUGUUACAUACUGUAAAUAAAAAAACAUUCAACA